rnacentral:rRNA from 1 species
CGCGAGGCAGAGCAAAUCUCCAAAAGCCGUCCCAGUUCGGAUUGCAGGCUGCAACCCGCCUGCAUGAAGUUGGAAUCGCUAGUAAUCGCGGAUCAGCAUGCCGCGGUGAAUACGUUCCCGGGCCUUGUACACACCGCCCGUCACACCAUGAGAGUCGGGAACACCCGAAGUCCGUAGCCUAACCGCAAGGGGGGCGCGGCCGAAGGUGGGUUCGAUAAUUGGGGUGAAGUCGUAACAAGGUAGC